UACAACUUUCAUCCUUCCUCUCACAUUUUCAAAGAGCUCACGGUUUGCUAUACCAGGAAAACAGGGGAAGAAAGGGCUUCUGAGUGCUUCCAAACCAGCAUCCCUGCCCUAGACUCUCUAACAUCAAGCUGCUCUCUACUGCCCUCUAGAGGACUUCAAUAUUACAGCAGGAAAAGAAGAAAUGAGACUUGCUAAAGCUUUCCCAUCAUCCCAUACUUACUAUACACUUAUUUCUCACAACCUAGAAAAUAAGAAUGUGAAACUGGCCUUUUGGCUCGCUGAGCACUGUCAUGGCGGUCGGCAAGAACAAGCGCCUUACGAAAGGCGGCAAAAAGGGAGGCAAGAAGAAAGUGAUUGAUCCAUUUUCUAAGAAAGAUUGGUAUGAUGUGAAGGCACCUGCUAUGUUCAAUAUAAGAAAUAUUGGGAAAACACUAGUCACCAGGACUCAAGGAACCAAAAUUGCAUCUGAUGGCCUCAAAGGUCAUCUGUUUAAAGUGAGUCUUGCUGAUCUGCAGAAUGAUGAAGUUGCAUUUAGAAAAUUCAAGCUGAUUACUGAAGAUGUUCAGGGCAAAAACUGCCUGACUAACUUCCAUGGCAUGGAUCUUACCCAUGACAAAAUGUGUUCUAUGGUUAAAAAAUGGCAGACUAUGAUUGAAGCUCAUGUUGAUGCUAUGACUACCUACCGAUGGUUAUUUGCAUAAUCUGUUCUGCGUUGGUUUUACUCAAAAACGUAACAAUCAGAUAAGGAAGACCUCUUAUGCCCAGCACCAACAGGUUCACCAAAUCUGGAAGAAAAUGAUGGAAAUCAUGACCAGAGAGGUGUAGACCAAUGACUUGAAAAAGGUUGUCAAUAAAUUUAUUCCAGAUACCAUUGGAAAAGACAUAGAAAAGGCAUGCCAAUCUAUUUAUCCUCUCCAUGAUGUCUUCGUUAGAAAAGUAAAAAUGCUGAAGAAACCCAAAUUUGAAUUGGGAAAACUCAUGGAGCUUCAUGGUGAAGGUAGUAGCUCUGGAAAAGCUACUGGGGACGAGACAGGUGCUAAAGUUGAACGAGCUGAUGGAUAUGAACCACCAGUCCUAGAAUCUGUCUAAAAUUCAGGCUUUUAAUAAUGACAAAUAAAGAAUCCUAUUUGUGAAAAAAAAAAAAAAAAA